rnacentral:ncRNA from 29 species
UGCGAUGAGUCGAAGAAAUCACGCCGCAUUUAUGCGGUCCGCGCAAGCGGCUAGGUGAUGUUUCGAAUGCAGGGGCAAGGUAACACCCACCGGAUAUGCGGGAGCCUUGAUUCCAACGGAUUGUGGAGUUC